UACGUAGGGGGCCAGCGUUGUCCGGAAUCAUUGGGCGUAAAGCGCGCGUAGGCGGCCAGAUAAGUCCGGUGUGAAAGUCAAAGGCUCAACCUUUGAAUGCCGCUGGAAACUGCCUGGCUUGAGUCCGGAAGGGGCGAGUGGAAUUCCUGGUGUAGCGGUGAAAUGCGCAGAUAUCAGGAGGGAACACCAAUGGCGAAGGCAGCUCGCUGGAACGGUACUGACGCUGAGGCGCGAAAGCGUGGGGAGCGAACAGGAUAG
rnacentral:rRNA from 1 species